rnacentral:rRNA from 1 species
GUCUCCAGCCAUACCAUCCUUUAUGUGCCUGACUCAUAUGAUGAAGCUAAAUAGGGUUGGGCUUAGUUAGUACUUGGAUAGGUGGAAGGUAAAACUUGCAAUGGAACCUUGAAGAGCAGGUGGGA